GGAGCAUGUGGCUUAAUUUGACUCAACGCGGGAAAUCUUACCGGGUCCGGACACACUGAGGAUUGACAGGCAAUAUUAGCACUGCAUUCGUACUUUGUGCGUUUUGUUUGUGUUAUGUUAAAUAUGCUAGUCCUUUCAUGAUUAUGUGAUAGGUGGUGCAUGGCCGUUCUUAGUUCAUGGAGUGAUCUGUCUGCUUAAUUGCGUUUCACCAAGGGCCUAUUAUUUUACGUGUGUUGCGGCACUUUGACCCCUCUUUCUUAAGAGCGCGUGUCUUAUUUUUGCUUAGCUCGCACAAUUAGGUCCUGAAAGCAACGAAAGUGACCGCAACCUCUUGUUGCCUCUAUACCAAACGUUAACAUUGCAUUUCUUUGCUUUGAUACGCAAAGAGGCUUUUUAAACUAGAGGGACCGCUGUUUCUUUCUUAAACCAAAGGAAGGUUGCGGCAAUAACAGGUGGGGUAUUGCC
rnacentral:rRNA from 1 species